rnacentral:lncRNA from 1 species
UUGUUUGUUGCUUUCCACCUGCUAAGUGUCAUAGUUGAUUUUAUACUAUUAUUCAUUACAUAUUAUUUUCUAUUUUGGGUUGGCCGAUGAUACCUACUCAGUACAUGUUCCUUGUACUAACCCCUACUUGUGUUUUCUUUUGUGGAGUGCAACAAGUGUACCAUCGACUUCGACUCGCCCUCAGCUCUAGCUGGUCUCCAG